ACAGGUGCUAAUACCGUAUAACAAUCGAAACCGCAUGGUUUUGAUUUGAAAGGCGCUUUCGGGUGUCCCUGAUGGAUGGACCCGCGGUGCAUUAGCUAGUUGGUGAGGUAACGGCUCACCAAGGCCACGAUGCAUAGCCGACCUGAGAGGGUGAUCGGCCACAUUGGGACUGAGACACGGCCCAAACUCCUACGGGAGGCAGCAGUAGGGAAUCUUCGGCAAUGGACGAAAGUCUGACCGAGCAACGCCGCGUGAGUGAAGAAGGUUUUCGGAUCGUAAAACUCUGUUGUUAGAGAAGAACAAGGAUGAGAGUAACUGUUCAUCCCUUGACGGUAUCUAACCAGAAAGCCACGGCUAACUACGUGCCAGCAGCCGCGGUAAUACGUAGGUGGCAAGCGUUGUCCGGAUUUAUUGGGCGUAAAGCGAGCGCAGGCGGUUUCUUAAGUCUGAUGUGAAAGCCCCCGGCUCAACCGGGGAGGGUCAUUGGAAACUGGGAGACUUGAGUGCAGAAGAGGAGAGUGGAAUUCCAUGUGUAGCGGUGAAAUGCGUAGAUAUAUGGAGGAACACCAGUGGCGAAGGCGGCUCUCUGGUCUGUAACUGACGCUGAGGCUCGAAAGCGUGGGGAGCAAACAGGAUUAGAUACCCUGGUAGUCCACGCCGUAAACGAUGAGUGCUAAGUGUUGGAGGGUUUCCGCCCUUCAGUGCUGCAGCUAACGCAUUAAGCACUCCGCCUGGGGAGUACGACCGCAAGGUUGAAACUCAAAGGAAUUGACGGGGGCCCGCACAAGCGGUGGAGCAUGUGGUUUAAUUCGAAGCAACGCGAAGAACCUUACCAGGUCUUGACAUCCUUUGACCACUCUAGAGAUAGAGCUUCCCCUUCGGGGGCAAAGUGACAGGUGGUGCAUGGUUGUCGUCAGCUCGUGUCGUGAGAUGUUGGGUUAAGUCCCGCAACGAGCGCAACCCUUAUUGUUAGUUGCCAUCAUUCAGUUGGGCACUCUAGCAAGACUGCCGGUGACAAACCGGAGGAAGGUGGGGAUGACGUCAAAUCAUCAUGCCCCUUAUGACCUGGGCUACACACGUGCUACAAUGGGAAGUACAACGAGUUGCGAAGUCGCGAGGCUAAGCUAAUCUCUUAAAGCUUCUCUCAGUUCGGAUUGCAGGCUGCAACUCGCCUGCAUGAAGCCGGAAUCGCUAGUAAUCGCGGAUCAGCACGCCGCGGUGAAUACGUUCCCGGGCCUUGU
rnacentral:rRNA from 1 species